GUGGCUCACGCCUGUAAUCCCAGCACUUUGGGAGGCUGAGGCGGGUGGAUCACGAGGUCAUGAGUUCAGUACCAACCUGGCCAAGAUGGUCACAGGAACUUCAAGUAUUUCACAGAAUGAUGCCGAGGAGCGCAGUUUCUACACCAUCCCUCCCGAUCAGACCACAUCUAUUCCCAUCUCAGUCUCAAACUCUUCCCCUUUUUCAACUCACAUUAAUGAAUUCACUAAGUACCUAGCACUGAGAAUAAAAAGUUAAAGCAGCA
rnacentral:antisense_RNA from 1 species